rnacentral:rRNA from 1 species
UACGUAGGGUGCAAGCGUUGUCCGGAAUUAUUGGGCGUAAAGAGCUCGUAGGCGGUUUGUCGCGUCGAAUGUGAAAACCCGGGGCUCAACCCCGGGCCUGCAUUCGAUACGGGCAGACUAGAGUUCGGUAGGGGAGUCUGGAAUUCCUGGUGUAGCGGUGAAAUGCGCAGAUAUCAGGAGGAACACCGGUGGCGAAGGCGGGACUCUGGGCCGAUACUGACGCUGAGGAGCGAAAGCGUGGGGGGCAAACAGG